GCUCAUUAAACUCUGUCUGCAUGUUUAAUGUGUUAUUUUGUAGUUCUUAGAAUGUCCUGUAGGGGGCAUUAGACCCACAUUUCCCCUGUGUCAGUACGAGAAGAAGAGUAAGAGCGAGGAAGAGAAAAGAAAUGGCAGACUAAGCACGUUUCAGCAGGAAUAGAGAAGCUACUAUGCAAAAGAGCGGUUGUGAUAUGAAAGAAGUCUGUUUAUCUUGAACUGGAUGAUGUAUAGUCUGUUCUUAGAUUUCUCCGGUUGGUUUUUUUUUGUUUGGACAACUGAAAUCUGAACGAGCCAGUGGAGUUCCAGAAGCACGAGGGUCCCGCCGCCAUAUUUGUGACUCGGACUGAAGCCUGGGACAACGCAGAGGGACUGAUGCUACUGGAGCUGGAUAUUUUGCUUGGAAACCAGAUAAGAGAAUUGAACAAGAGAAAAGGGGGGCCCCCCAAUCCUUUAUUUUUUUUGGUUAUUCCACAAACUACUUGUUCAUGAACAUUUUCAAACUGGACAAUUUAUGUCCACAUUGACUGAACUGACUGACUGAACGUUAUAUUGAAGGACUAAUUGAAAUAUGUAAUAUCUUUGUUGAAAUGAGCUUUAAAGCUACAGUGUAGAAAAACCUACCCUAAUUUUUUGAAAUAUUUGAGUUAUUUUUAAGGGUGGACAAUUUAAGUUUUAUACCUUAAUUUUAUUAAGGUAAUUAUUCUUUUGUGGAGAAAGAAAAUAAACCUGAGUUGUUAAAACGUGAA